CACAACACGACCCCAGGAUGGAAACAGAGCUCAGGAAAUCUGAACAAGAGAUGUCUGCCAAAAAAUGGACAGCCCCUAAGGUUACAUAUGGGCGACCCCGGUCACAAAGAUAAGAGAUAUCAACUGGCAGUGCUUUCCAAGUGUAAUUCCAUCAAAAAAUGUAUUCAGAACAGAGCCUUCCCAGCCAAAACAGGCAUUCCAGACGGUUGCUGUAUGAUCUUGUACUGGUUCCCAGUUUGGAAAAUGCAGAGCCGUACAGUACUACAUAGAAAUUGUAUUCUGCAUGCAUCCCUACAUUUUGUUUUAAAUGUUUCUUAAUGUAACCUUUGCCGGGAGAUAUUUGAUUUAUCGUCAACGCUUAAAUCAGAAAUCAAACAUGGCGCCAGAAUAACUGGGAUCAAGAAGCACAUAAAACGGAGCUCAAACUGAGCCUGGGCGCGCAGAAAAGUGCAGGAGUCAAGUCGCCUGAUUUAUUCCUUUUCGGCAAGCAAUUUCUGGAUUAAUUUCAUAUGGACUGGAAGACUUUACGCGUCAAGUUAAAGACUUACUGACUUGGACUUUACAGCAAACUAAUUGUGUCCCGUGUAAACUGGUAAAUCGGUUUUAUACUAAGAGAGAUAAGGGUGGGUAUUUAAACUCAAAACUGGGAGGUAAUUACUGCUGCUAUGAAAUUUACAAAUGUGUACAAAUUCUAUUUUUCUUUCACUUAUUACAGAUUUUAUGAAUAUCCGAUAUAGAUCUGUUGAAAUACUCCUUUAACCUAAACCACGCCACUGUAUACAAUGGGCACUUUAUCUCUCCUACAUUACGUGUGUGGGAUGGUGGGCUGCAAUACUCGAACUUGCUGAAAUGGUUUGUUUUGCAGAGUUGUCAAAAUUCUAAAAGAUCUUUUCUUUAAUAUAUUAUAAAGUUAUCUCUCUAAACGACUGAGCAACAAUACUCUCCUGGCAUUGAAAUUGUUAAAUAAUGUUUAGCGAGAAUAUGUUAAAUCAGGAUUACUGCCAAGAGCUUCUACCAAGUCACUUCAUAGGGCCAUGGAUAAAUGUUCUAGCAAGUUUUUGUAACAUGGAUUAACACCUUAAGAGCCAAACGCACAAACAUACAAUCAAAUGGUUAAACGCCUGACCUGCUUAAAACCAUCAUAUGUUUGGGCUAUUAAGAUAUAAACCUGACAAAUAAAUCUCUGUUACAAUUUUCUUUGGAUUUAUGGCUUGUGAAUAAAUUUGAUUGAAAAACAAGUGUUAACAAAGAAAUUCAAUAAAAAUGUCAACGGGUGCA